rnacentral:rRNA from 1 species
AAAUUGAAGAGUUUGAUCAUGGCUCAGAUUGAACGCUGGCGGCAGGCCUAACACAUGCAAGUCGAGCGGAAACGAGUUAUCUGAACCUUCGGGGGACGAUAACGGCGUCGAGCGGCGGACGGGUGAGUAAUGCCUAGGAAAUUGCCCUGAUGUGGGGGAUAACCAUUGGAAACGAUGGCUAAUACCGCAUGAUGCCUACGGGCCAAAGAGGGGGACCUUCGGGCCUCUCGCGUCAGGAUAUGCCUAGGUGGGAUUAGCUAGUUGGUGAGGUAAGGGCUCACCAAGGCGACGAUCCCUAGCUGGUCUGAGAGGAUGAUCAGCCACACUGGAACUGAGACACGGUCCAGACUCCUACGGGAGGCAGCAGUGGGGAAUAUUGCACAAUGGGCGCAAGCCUGAUGC